UGCAAGCUGCGGCUAAAAUCCCUCCUCUAGUAUUCACUGGGCUUUCCUUCCGCUGAGCUCAUUACUACAUAGUGCCUCACAAUUUAUUGUUUCAUCAUUCUCUGUUUUUUGGGUGUUAAUUUAAUGUUCUCCACUAGAAAGCAAGAGACUUAAGAACAAAAACACACCUGUCUUCUUUCCUUUUUCUCAGUGUUAAGCAAGUGACUGGAGCCCAAUUCCUGCUGCCGCCAAGGAGUCAGGCCUGCUGGCCCUCUCCCCUUUGCCUCUCCUCUUUUACUAUUACAAAGCUGGCCCUUCAAAGCACAGUGCUCUCUGCAAUACAGAAGCCCUCGCUAUCUCUACAGUGGAGAAAAUGUGCGCCACGGGAAAAGGUCAUAGCAUAGAACAAUCUGAAGAGCACUGGUCUGCAUCCCACUUAGAAACCUCCAACUCCAAAUGUCAAUUUUCCUCCUGAGACAGCAUUUCUGGGCUGCUGCCUCCCGCUCCAGAGAGAUGUGCUUCUGGGAAAGUCAACUACACUGUGCAAGAGGUCUGUGAAAUGUGUCGGCACUUCCAUAAAAUAGAUGUAACUGAGGAUCUUCAGUCGGGCCCUCUUCUCCUGCUUAUUCCUUGGCAAAGAAUUUCUAAGAUCCUCCUCUAGCACCCUGGGCACUCAGGAAGUAAAAGCCACCUUUUUCUAGCCACUAGGGAAGAACAAGGGCUGGUGUUUCCCAGUCUGUCCGGAGAGUGACUCUUUACCCAACACAUGGAAGCUACCUGGAUGCUGAGUGAAGAUAAAUAGUGCCGUCUCCUUGGGUCGUUUAAUUCCAAGCAAGGCCCAUAUUGAUUUUGCCUCUCCCUGUACUAACCUGUUCGGUGAUGUACAGCUGAGGACCAUCUGCAUAACGGAGGGUAUAAUACUCUGGGUUUGGCAACGACCACCUAUGCAAGAGAAAAACAGUAUAUCCCACUUGGCCACUCUCUUGUUCAGAAGCUGCUCAUAAGUAAUUUUCAAAAGAGUUGCUCAAGGGAUUGGGUGGCCUAUUUGGAAUACAGUGGAAACAAAGCUUUAGGUUGUCAUGUUGAAAAAAUCAUGGCCUCAGCCUUUUGUAAAGAUGAGCACCACAAUAGGAGGUGUGCAGAACUGAGGAGGGGUCUCAGAUCCUACCUCAAUAGGGCAAUGCUAGACUUUAAGGAAAAAAUUAAGAAGUAUAAACGUCUUAGGGGUAUGGUUGUCAACUGUACUUCCUUCCCAAGACAAUGAUUCCCAAGACCCCCAUGCUGAGGACCUGCCUAACUGGAGAUCCUUCCCAGAACUCCCCUCAAGGUGUAGGAGUGCUCUUUCAGUCGGAGCUGCCACUGUUGAAAACGAGGUCCAUUUCAACCUACCCAUCACAAACUUCCUUGAUAAUGGAUGCCAGGGGCCGUUUCUGAAAGAGAGAGAGAGAAAGCCUUCAACAGCAGCAACAUCCUACUCAUGCCAAGGUUCUGACAAGAGGCCUGCCAAGCAGGGUCAAGCUGGGGCAUGAGAAUGAACUUCUUUCCUAACAGCUUUUGUUGAAGAGGAAGCCUCUCCCAAGCCAUGGUGACCGACCUUCCCUAGGGUGGGCCAGGCCCAAAGCUUAGCCUUCCUGUUGCUCGUUCUUACUCUUGAUGCCGGUGGUCCCCAUCCCUCAAGAUGUCCUCUGCCAUGCACUCCCCAGGUGCCUUUCCUUGAACCACUGCUUCUCACUUCAGGAGCAUACCUGGUCGAUUUCAAGGAGCUGGGCGUUAGCACCUGGCCACUCAAUGGCCACUUUGACAAUGUCUGACGGUGGUGGCAUCGUUCCCAAUGGGCUCUAAUUCUGCGAGACAAAAACACAGACACGGCUGCCUGGGGAGAAAGAAUCAGAAAGGUGGAAAAAGAGUAUUUCUUCAUUUUUCACUCUUGUUACAUGUUUUGAAGAGUUUGAAGACAGACACUGCAUAAAGUAACACAUGAAACUACCUGGUUUGAAUUUUUCUAGAUCAUACCACAACUUCUGCUUAGGAUUUUGUCUCUUGAGAUUAAAUCAGCAAGAAGAAAUGGGACAAACUAUCUAUCAUCCAUAGAUCAGCCAGUAGCAAGAUAUGCCAAUGUGGCACUUCAGUUUAAGAGUCAAGAAGACUCAGUGGUAGAGGAAUGUAUUUACUGCAAAUUCCUGUCUUGAGACCUUGGGAGGAGAGAAGCAUAUGCUCCGAGACAGAUAAGAAUAGACAGCCUUUUCUUGGUUGAGUGGUUAGCUGGAGGAGCCAGGCUACUUCUUUCUGCAGUCAUCCUAGGAAGAUCCCAGCAUCAGCAGGGCCCAGCUACAUGCUCUCUUGCUUCCUCCCCACUCAUCGAUGCCACCCCUUUCCCCUCAAAGGACACAAUGCAAAGCCUCCUCUGUGUGGGACGACAUCAGAAAAUGGGGAAGAUAACUGGGACAGGAAAUGCUAUUUUCGUCCCUACUGCCAAGGGCAAGGGCGGCUGACAACUCAAGUGGAGAGAGGUAAGGAUAUCCUCACACAAGGGCCCCUCUUAUAAGGACAAGGCUUUGCAAGUACCUCUGACCCCCUCCCCCACUUCUCUCCAAAAUAAAGGAAAAUAAAUCAUCCUGAGCAAGUCUGGAAGAUGGGCCCAUGUGACUGGUAUCCUAGGCAACUCUGAUAGCUUACUGGUAUUCCAAGCAGUAACUAAAGCAUUCUCUCUCCAAGGUCUGACGAAGGGAAGUCACUUGGCUGAUGGAUUAUUUCAAUGUAUAUUUACACUCCUUGCCUACAAGUUCAGGAGAGGCCCCUCUCUUAAUGAAAAAGACCUUUCUGCAUCCUCCAGGUUUAGCCAUUCACCCACAAUUCAUGCCUCGCUAAUGGGGACCACCUGCCUCUCCUGGCGUACAAAGCAUAGCUGUCGCGAGGCUAUUAUGCAUGUAUGCUAUCAAUUUUUCAGCCCAAACACAGAUGUCAGUUCUCACAGCCUGGUAAGUAUAAACCUCUUAGAUGAAAAGGAGUAAAAGUCCUGUCCCCCACAAGCCCAUCGGCCUCAGAAAGAGGGAUGCUUUCAUGACCAUUUCCUAGUCAGAAUGGGAUGCUUCAGAAGUCUACUGUCAUAAAAAGCCAGCAUUUCCAGAACAUGACAAUGUAAAGGAACUAGUUUUCCAAGUGCUUUCACUUAUUUUAUUGUGUCCUCCCAGCAGCCCCACGAAUUAGGCAGAACAGGAUUAUCACCUCCAUUUGAAGAUGGCACAACUAAAGCUCAGUGUUUUGUUAAGUGCCCAAGGUCACCCAGCUAGUAAGUCAUAACGGUUGACAGAACUUGGACUGGCUUCGGCCAAUGCUUUCCCCUUUUCCUUUGAGCCAGCCUCAACUUCUGUCCACUGCAAUUAAACGCAGCCUAAAGGGAUUGAAGUGGGUUGGCCUUAUGGCCCCCAAGGCUUCCAUAACUUCUGCAGCUCAUGGCAGAAUUUUUCACAUGUAAUUUUUAUGUGCCUAGACACACGACAAACCUCAGAAAAGAAACUGGCCCUAUCUGCAUAAUUUCUGGGGAAAAUGCUCUGCUCCAGUUACAGCAAGACAGGGAGUUCUUGUUCUAGGGGUGGCGCCAUCAAUCUCUGGAUGCUUAGAGAUGCAUCCUUAUCCUUAUCGGCAAAGCUGCUGCAAUUAGUAGACAGGACUGCACGGUUGUGAGGUCAAUUUUAAAAACUGAGAUAUAAUUUACAUACAAUAAAAUGCAGAGGGCUUAAGGGUACAUAUGUUUGUAUAUAUAAAUAUACAUCAUAUAAAUAUACACAUGCAUCUCCCUGUAACCAGCACUCAAAACGAGACACUGAACAUUUUCAUCACCCUAGAAAAUUACUUCAUACUUCCUCUUCCCGUCAAUCCUUCCAGUCCUUUAAAGGGGAAUUUCUGACUUAUCAUCAUCCAUGAGUUUUGCCUGGUUUUGUACUUCAUAUAAAUGGAACUAUACGAUAUGACUUUUUAGAUCAUUUGUUUAGUUUGGCUUCUUCUUAUUUUUAAAAUAAGCAGGCACAGAAGGUACAACAGAAAGAACACUGGGCUGGGAUAAUUGUCCCUGCUGAAACAAGUGACUGGAUUUAGAACCAAAGGCCUCAGGACCCAAUCCUAGGUCUUUCACAAUGUAUACAUGGCCCUUUAACCAAAUCUCAGUUUUCUUCUAUUGAAAGAUGUGAGUGUAGAACUAAAGCAUGUCUCAGGUGCCUUCUAAGUCUAAAAGUCCAUGAUUCUUAAGUGGAAUUUAAAAAAUCCAAGUGAGGAUGCCCAUUUUAAAGUCCUUACCAAAUGAAGUUACACCCUUCCUUAAUUUCGAUGGUGCUGCUAAGAAACAAACCCCAUGAUUUUUAACUCCUUUCUGAACGCCGUCUUUGGAGAUUAAGCUAAAGCUCAUUAGGUUAUAGCUAUUAUUUUCUCUUGACCCCAUAUGACAUAUCCUAGAUUGACUCUCUCUUUAUUAAAGUUAGCCCUGAAUGAUUCUCGGCUGUUCAAAAAUUCGUAUACAUUUUAAAGCAUGGAGAUUUGCAACCACCAAACUAUUUGAAAGAUAUUAAUAAGCCCCCAUUCUCAGUGACUCUGUCCUUCCCACAAAGCCCAGGCAGCCUCUCUGAACUGAAUGACACUCUCCACAACCCUGCCAUAGCUGAUGGGACUAAAGUGAAUACCCAACUUUAGCUGAACUAUUCCAGUUCUUUCUCUUGAAUUUAAAAGACAGAGACUGGCUGGGCGUGGUGGCUCAUGUCUAUAAUCGCAGCACUUUGGGAGGCCAAGGUGGGUGGAUCGCCUGAGGUCAGGAGUUUGAGACCACCCUGGCCAACAUGGCAAAACCCCGUCUCUAGUAAAAAUACAAAAAGUAGCCAGGCAUGAUGGUGGGCGCCUGUAAUCCCAACUACUCGGGAGACUGAGGCAGGGAGGACAGCUUGAACCCAGGAGGCGGAGGUUUCAGUGAGCACAGAUUGCACCAUUACGCUCCAGCCUGGGCGACGGAAUGAGACUCCAUCAUAAAUAAAUACACACAUACAUACAUACAAACAAAUAAAAGACACAGACUAAGGGAACUGGGUGAUAAUGACCCUGGAGAAGUAAGAUCAUAGUAAGCUUCAGAGCGAAUACCAUGGCAAGCCAAAGAUCCGUACGAGCCAAAGAUAUGGAGAAUAAAAAACCAAGAGCCUUUCAGAGGAAGUGAUUCUGCAGGAGGAAUCCAUAAAUAUCUAAAUGAACUGAGGCCAGAAAUCAGAAAGAGAUGGAAAAGCCAUUACCUGCUAACUUUCCAGAUUAUGUGGCUAUUACUUCCUAUGCUCGGGGUACCUGAAAGUCCACUGUAUCCUGCCAAUAAAACUCCUAUAAAUUAA